UCUUUCUUUCUGUGCCCACCACAAUCUCAUCACAAAUAUAUACCUUUCUUCCUUCACAUGUUUGCUUCUUUCUCUUCUUCUCUGUUUCACACAAACUUCCAACUUUUGGUUCGCUCACCUAAUCCUCCCCAAAGUUCAUGCCUCUGGUUUCUCCCAGUUCAGCUUAAAGUUCAGUAUUAUUCUCAACCCACCUAAUCUUAGCUUGUUUUCCCAACCAAACCAGCGAAAUCUGAGUCACAUACCCUUUUCAGCUUGCGGGCUCUUCCCG
rnacentral:lncRNA from 1 species